GUCUAUGGCCAUGCCACCCUGAACUUGCCUGAUCUCAGAAGUUAAGCAGGGUCGGUCCUGGUUAGUACUCGGAUGGGAGACCCCCUAGGAAGACCAGGUGCUGUAGGCU
rnacentral:rRNA from 1 species